CUCCCCCAUUAUCAACCGUGCGAUACAAUGCCGACACCUGCUUGCCAUAUAUACGGGAUACUCUAACAGAUUCAACAAAAGUUACCUUAUUGUUUAGAGAUAGAGGGAGAGAAGGCGAAGAUACCUGUUCAUAAUCUCAGAGGGUUAGCAUUGGGUCUUAACAUUUUGCAAGAACAAGGUUCAAGAAACAUGUCUCUUCAGUUUUCAGGUCUCUUCUUCGAGAGUUGAUUGGGAAUGGGUGGAGUAGGGGAAAUUGGAAUCUAUUCGCCGGGACCAGCAAUGGCAUCAGAGCGGACAACGAUGACAAAUUUUUGGUUCGGUUGAACUCGGGACAACUCCCUUCCAAUCCGAGUCGGAUUGGGUCGAGCGCCACCAGCCACUUCCAAGUUCAUCGGAUUGGGUCGAGCGCCACCAGCCACUUCCAAGUUCAUCGCCGAACUGUAGAAGUCCGCUAGGCGAACUGAUCUAUUGUUGUCAACAAAACGGAGUAAAUUUAUUUUUUACUUUCUCAGUUGAUACAGCAUGCACGCUCAAACUCAUGCUCACAGUGGUUUUGUUAUAGUGCUGGAGUAGGUAAUUUUAAUAAAAAUUACUUUAAUAAAUUUGCCAAAUUGAAUUU